GAUGAACGCUAGCGGGAGGCCUAACACAUGCAAGCCGAGCGGUAUUGUUUCUUCGGAAAUGAGAGAGCGGCGUACGGGUGCGGAACACGUGUGCAACCUGCCUUUAUCUGGGGGAUAGCCUUUCGAAAGGAAGAUUAAUACUCUAUAAUAUAUUGAUUGGCAUCAAUUAAUAUUGAAAGCUCCGGCGGAUAGAGAUGGGCACGCGCAAGAUUAGCUAGUUGGUGAGGUAACGGCUCACCAAGGCGAUGAUCUUUAGGGGGGCGGAGAGGGUGAUCCCCCACACUGGUACUGAGACACGGACCAGACUCCUACGGGAGGCAGCAGUGAGGAAUAUUGGUCAAUGGGUGCAAGCCUGAACCAGCCAUCCCGCGUGAAGGACGACUGCCCUAUGGGUUGUAAACUUCUUUUGUAUAGGGAUAAACCUACCCUCGUGAGGGUAGCUGAAGGUACUAUACGAAUAAGCACCGGCUAACUCCGUGCCAGCCGCCGCGGUAAAAC
rnacentral:rRNA from 1 species